rnacentral:rRNA from 1 species
AUUGAACGCUGGCGGCAGGCUUAACACAUGCAAGUCGAACGAGUGGCGGACGGGUGAGUAAUGUUUGGGAAUCUAGCCUAUGGAGGGGGAUAACUACGGGAAACGGUAGCUAAUACCGCGUACCAUAGGAUGAGCCCAAGUGGGAUUAGGUAGUUGGUGUGGUAAAGGCUCACCAAGGCGACGAUCUCUAGCUGGUCUGAGAGGAUGACCAGCCACACUGGGACUGAGGCACGGCCCAGACUCCUACGGGAGGCAGCAGUGGGGAAUAUUGCGCAAUGGGGGCAACCUGACGCAGCCAUGCCGCGGGAAUGAAGAAGGCCUUCGGGUUGUAAAGUUCUUUCGGUAGCGAGGCGUUAACUACAGGAGAAGCACCGGCUAACUCCGUGCCAGCCGCCGCGGUAAUAC